GUUGUAUGGUUAAGUGACUAAGCGUACACGGUGGAUGCCUUGGCAGUCAGAGGCGAUGAAGGACGUAGUAACUUGCGAUAAGCCCAGAUUAGGUAGUAACAACCAUUUGAGUCUGGGAUUUCCGAAUGGGGAAACCCACUUACAUAAGUAAGUAUCAUUAACUGAAUACAUAGGUUAAUGAGGCGAACCGGGGGAACUGAAACAUCUAAGUACCCCGAGGAAAAGAAAUCAACCGAGAUUCCGAAAGUAGCGGCGAGCGAAAUUGGACUAGCCCUUAAGCUUUACACGCGUUAGACGAACGGUCUGGAAAGUCCGACGAUACAGGGUGAUAGUCCCGUAGUUGACGACGUGUGUUCAGUGAAAUCGAGUAGGGCGGGACACGUGAUAUCCUGUCUGAAUAUGGGGGGACCAUCCUCCAAGGCUAAAUACUACUGACUGACCGAUAGUGAACCAGUACCGUGAGGGAAAGGCGAAAAGAACCCCUGUGAGGGGAGUGAAAUAGAACCUGAAACCGUGUACGUACAAGCAGUAGGAGCAGGCUUGUCCUGUGACUGCGUACCUUUUGUAUAAUGGGUCAGCGACUUAUAUUCAGUGGCAAGGUUAACCAUCUAGGGGAGCCGUAGGGAAACCGAGUCUUAACUGGGCGUUCAGUCUCUGGAUAUAGACCCGAAACCAGGUGAUCUAGCCAUGGGCAGGUUGAAGGUUGAGUAACAUCAACUGGAGGACCGAACCGACUAAUGUUGAAAAAUUAGCGGAUGACUUGUGGCUAGGGGUGAAAGGCCAAUCAAACCUGGAGAUAGCUGGUUCUCCCCGAAAGCUAUUUAGGUAGCGCCUCGGACGAAUACUACUGGGGGUAGAGCACUGUUAAGGCUAGGGGGUCAUCCCGACUUACCAACCCUUUGCAAACUCCGAAUACCAGUAAGUACUAUCCGGGAGACACACGGCGGGUGCUAACGUCCGUCGUGGAGAGGGAAACAACCCAGACCGCCAGCUAAGGUCCCAAAUUACUACUAAGUGGGAAACGAUGUGGGAAGGCUCAGACAGCCAGGAUGUUGGCUUAGAAGCAGCCAUCAUUUAAAGAAAGCGUAAUAGCUCACUGGUCGAGUCGGCCUGCGCGGAAGAUGUAACGGGGCUAAGUAGUAAACCGAAGCUGCGGCAAUAUACUUUUGUAUAUUGGGUAGGGGAGCGUUCUGUAAGCGGUUGAAGGUGUGUGGUAACGCAUGCUGGACGUAUCAGAAGUGCGAAUGCUGACAUGAGUAACGAUAAAGGGGGUGAAAAACCUCCUCGCCGGAAGACCAAGGGUUCCUGUCCAACGUUAAUCGGGGCAGGGUAAGUCGACCCCUAAGGCGAGGCCGAAAGGCGUAGUCGAUGGGAAACGGGUUAAUAUUCCCGUACUUCUUACAAUUGCGAUGGGGGGACGGAGAAGGCUAGGUGGGCCUGGCGACGGUUGUCCAGGUUCAAGUGCGUAGGCUU
rnacentral:rRNA from 1 species